CUUUUACAUUUUUAAAACUUUGCUUAUGAUUUUAAACAAAUCACUUAAACUGACUAUGUACUAAAAAACACUAUAUCUUAAUCCCAGACCCUGUCCCUGCACUCUGGCAAAUCUAAACAUUACUGUUUAUGAGAAACAGCAAUACUUACGUUGCUAGUCAACCAGCCACUAGAGUUACUUUCUUGAAAACAUUCAAUAAUUAAAAGGCUUCAAGUUCUGCAUCACAAUGGUUUCCAUGGAGUGUUACACUCACUUUGCAGGAUUUGUAAUCUGUUUACUUAUUCACGACAUUUAGCAAAUAUGUUUGAGAUCUGAAAAAUAAAAUUUAUGCUGCU